rnacentral:misc_RNA from 1 species
CAUCAGGAGCGACAUCAAUGGUAGCGCGUACAUCCUUUGAGAAGAGAUAGAAGAACCUAGCGAGGAGAAAGAGACAUAUAUUGGGGUAAGGAUUAGCAAUGGAUUAGUACGCAGUUACUGCUGCGCCAUUUAGUUGGUUGAGUCCAGUGUCCAGUUUUGAUUGAGCAGUAACUCGAGAAGUAGUGUUCCGUUUGAUCUACAUAUUUUGACAAAGUGCUUGACAAUCGGUAGCUACUGAAAGACCUAUAUCAUUGGAAAUUUCGUGUAUUCCCUAAUUCGGAAAUUUUUUCAUAAGCACUGGCUUUCAAUCAAUCAUCACGGUGCCUCGUUCAUCGCAGUACCCAUUCAACUUCCAACCACGAAGGGCAGGAGUUACAUGGCAUCGCACGAUUCGUUUACAGAUCCAUCUCUACCGGAACAGGAUGGAGAGGAG